rnacentral:rRNA from 1 species
UACGUAGGGACCAAGCGUUGUCCGGAAUCAUUGGGCGUAAAGCGCGUGUAGGCGGUCCGGUAAGUCCGCUGUGAAAGUCGGGGGCUCAACCCUCGAAUGCCGGUGGAUACUGUCGGGCUAGAGUGCGGAAGAGGCGAGUGGAAUUCCUGGUGUAGCGGUGAAAUGCGCAGAUAUCAGGAGGAACACCAAUUGCGAAGGCAGCUCGCUGGGACGUUACUGACGCUGAGACGCGAAAGCGUGGGGAGCAAACAGG